rnacentral:rRNA from 1 species
UACAUGUGGGGCAAGCGUUGUUCGGAAUUACUGGGCAUAAAGGGUGCGUAGGCGGUUUGUUAAGUCACAGGUGAAAGUUUUCGGCCCAACCGGAAAAUUGCCUGCGAUACUGGCGAACUUGAGUGCGUGAGGGGUAGGGGGAACGAGCAGUGUAGCGGUGAAAUGCGUAGAUAUUGGGAGGAACACCAGUGGCGAAGGCGGCUACCUGGACCGGUUCUGACGCUGAUGCGCGAAAGCGUGGGUAGCAAACAGG